GGCGGGAUAUUCUAGUGGUUAGGGUGUUCGACUCCCAGGUGAAAGGUUCUGGGUUCGAUCCCCUGAGUCGCCCC